UGCCCCUUGGCCCAGUUGGUGAAGGCGCACGACUGUUAAUUCGCGCUCAAUCGUGAGAUCGCAAGUUCGAACCUUGCAGGGGCAG